CCCUUAGAUGUCCUGGGCUGCACGCGCGCUACACUGAUGUGUCCAGUAAGCACCUAACCUCUUCCGAAAGGAACGGGUAACCUUUGCAAAGCACAUCGUGAUGGGGAUAGAUUAUUGCAAUUAUUAGUCUUGAACGAGGAAUUCCUAGUAAGCACAAGUCAUCAGCUUGUGUUGAUUACGUCCCUGCCCUUUGUACACACCGCCCGUCGUUCCUACCGAUUGAAUGUUCCGGUGAGCUCUUCGGACUGCGCGGUCUGCAGUUUCUGCGUUCCGUGCGGAAAGUUGCGCAAACCUUAACAUUUAGAGGAAGGAGAAGUCGUAACA
rnacentral:rRNA from 1 species